rnacentral:rRNA from 1 species
AUGUUGCCACCACCGCCGCCGCAGCCUCUGCCUGGCCGGUCGGAGGGGCAGCGGCCACCAAAAUACUUGUGUUUCUAUGUGUCCCUUGUGAGCUGCAAGAGGAAGAAGGAGCUGCUCCGAUCAGCCCCAACAAGAACUACUUAUCCGACAUGGCUGCACUAUCAAUUUAGCGAGCAGUUGAGGGUGGAGGGCGCCGUCCUGCCCUACGCCCACACCACGAUCCCAUCCCCAUCCCCAUCUCCCUCCCUCUCCAUCAACUCCUUCCUCGCCGGGGGCCGGACGGCUGGUAUUGCCGUCUUUGCCGCCAUGAAGCUUCCUCCGGCUGUUGCAUGUCUUCUCCUCCUCCUCCUCGUCUUUGCUGCUGCACGUGUGGAGGCCCGAGGCACACCUUCUUCAAAGCGGUCGAAGAACCAAUGGUCCAGCAUGUUUGUCUUCGGCGACGACUUUGUCGACAACGGCAAUGUUCCAAACAACAUUGGUGAAAAGACAUCACGUCAAUGGAGCUACCCAUACGGCUCCUAUCUCAACACUCAUUAUGCUACGUCUCCUGUUUUGGCCGGGCGCUUCUCCAACUACAGGAUGCAAUCAGAUUUUAUCGCAAGGAUGUUGGGCCUCAAUGAAGCCCCUCCAGCGUACGAGCUCACAUCAGAUCAAUCUUUUGACUCAUCUGGCAUGACCUUUGCUUUUGGGGGCGCUGGUGUCUUCAAGGUGAAGACCAAGAAGGUGCCGACCCUUGCCGCACAGCUCGACACUUACAUCGAAAACGUGGCGACUGAGAUCCUAGAUAACGUGGCACAACUGCAGAUGCUUGGUUCGAACAACUACACCACAUGCGACCUUCUUGGCAAUUAUGGCGCGUCCGUCCACAACAAGUAUCUAAAGCAAAUGCUUGACGAAAGGGAUAACGUUCACAUUCUGGACCUCUACUCAGCCUUCACUGACAUCGUCAAUCACGCCCCUGGUGGAGGAUCGGAUCAGUCCAAGGAUUUCGAUGGCAAGCUGACCCCAUGCUGCGAGAGUACCGAUGAGGGAGGGUUCUGUGGAGAGCGUAGCCAUUCAGGGAAGCGCCUGUACGACCUAUGCGAAAAUCCCGACAAGACGUUCUACUGGGACCAGACACACCCAACACAUGUGGGAGGCUGUAAUGAAGGCGCUGCAACAGCCUUUGAUGGAGUUUCUGGAUGA